GGGACAAGAAACCACUUAUGCCUAUUGGAUUGAGCAAUCUGUAGUUGCUCCAUCAAAUGUGAGUAUGUGUUCAUCACAUUACUUGUAUUUUAACUCCACAGUUACACACUAUUGCGUUUUUUCUUUUUCUUCUAUGUUCACACAUGGAGAGGCCCAAGCACCAGUUAUAUCGUAGAGUGGGGUUCAUAUCACACCAAGCCAUAUCCAGGGAGCCGCUGUACUGGCUUCAAAAUAUGUGAGUGCAAUAUUUUACUCUGUUUUUAUCUCUGCUUUGGUUUGACAUACACACCAUAUUGUUUUUUUUAUAUAUAUAUUUCUCUUCUAUAUGAGGAUACUGCUGCAGAG